rnacentral:rRNA from 1 species
CAAUAGCGUAUAUUAAAGUUGUUGCAGUUAAAAGCUCGUAGUUGGAGUUCAGAGUGAGCUCAGCCGGUCGGCCUUAUGGGUCAGAACUGGUUGACUCUCUCUUGUUUGUGGAUCCCUUCGGAGUUAACUCUUCGGAUGUGGAGUCCACAUCGUUUACCUUGAAAAAAUUAGAGUGUUCAAAGCAGGCGUUUGCUUGAAUAUAUUAGCAUGGAAUAAUGGAAUAGGACGCUGGUUCUAUUUUGUUGGUUUUGAGAACCAGAGUAAUGAUUAAUAGGGACAGUUGGGGGUGCUAGUAUUGGCCGGCCAGAGGUGAAAUUCUUGGAUUCGGUCAAGACUAACUUAUGCGAAAGCAUUCACCAAGGAUGUCUUCUUUAAUCAAGAACGAAAGUUGGGGGAUCGAAGAUGAUUAGAUACCA